UACGGAGGGUGCAAGCGUUAUCCGGAUUCACUGGGUUUAAAGGGUGCGUAGGCGGGCAUUUAAGUCAGUGGUGAAAUACCUGAGCUUAACUUGGGAACUGCCAUUGAUACUAUUUGUCUUGAAUAUCGUGGAGGUUAGCGGAAUAUGUCAUGUAGCGGUGAAAUGCUUAGAUAUGACAUAGAACACCCAUUGCGAAGGCAGCUAACUACGCGAUCAUUGACGCUGAUGCACGAAAGCGUGGGGAUCAAACAGG
rnacentral:rRNA from 1 species